rnacentral:rRNA from 1 species
AUUGAACGCUGGCGGCAUGCCUUACACAUGCAAGUCGAACGGCAGCACGGGUGCUUGCACCUGGUGGCGAGUGGCGAACGGGUGAGUAAUAUAUCGGAACGUACCUUAUCGUGGGGGAUAACGCAGCGAAAGCUGCGCUAAUACCGCAUACGCCCUGAGGGGGAAANCGGGGGACCGUAAGGCCUCGCGCGAUUAGAGCGGCCGAUGGCAGAUUAGGUAGUUGGUGGGAUAAAAGCUUACCAAGCCGACGAUCUGUAGCUGGUCUGAGAGGACGACCAGCCACACUGGGACUGAGACACGGCCCAGACUCCUACGGGAGGCAGCAGUGGGGAAUUUUCCGGCAAUGGGCGAAAGCCUGACGGAGCAAUACCGCGUGAGGGAAGACUGCCUAUGGGUUGUAAACCGUCUUUUUUCCUAGGGUAGGAAUAAAUGACGUGUACCUGAAGAAUAAGCAUCGGCUAAC